rnacentral:lncRNA from 1 species
GUGCACUUGAUAUUUUCUAGGCGAGGCCCAAGCCUUCUAGGGUUUCUUUUAUUUCUUUUUCAGAAACGAAGGUCUCUUCUCCACCUUCGUUAGUGGCAGCUUUGCCCUCCAUAUGACCAACGGCGUCGUGCCUUCCUUUGGACGACCAAAACUUUCGCUGACGGCACCGAUCGUUACCAAACACAUCGCCAGCCACUACAGCGUUCCUCCCUCCGUGCGCACUUGAUGACGUCGCUGCCGCUACCAUUAGGUUCCGAUUC